rnacentral:rRNA from 1 species
AGAGUUUGAUCCUGGCUCAGAACGAACGCUGGCGGCAGGCUUAACACAUGCAAGUCGAGCGCCCCGCAAGGGGAGCGGCAGACGGGUGAGUAACGCGUGGGAAUCUACCCAUCUCUACGGAAUAACGCAUGGAAACGUGUGCUAAUACCGUAUACGUCCUUCGGGAGAAAGAUUUAUCGGAGAUGGAUGAGCCCGCGUUGGAUUAGCUAGUUGGUGGGGUAAAGGCCUACCAAGGCGACGAUCCAUAGCUGGUCUGAGAGGAUGAUCAGCCACACUGGGACUGAGACACGGCCCAGACUCCUACGGGAGGCAGCAGUGGGGAAUAUUGGACAAUGGGCGCAAGCCUGAUCCAGCCAUGCGGCGUGAGUGAUGAAGGCCCUAGGGUUGUAAAGCUCUUUCACCGGUGAAGA